rnacentral:lncRNA from 1 species
AUCUAGCUCCCUGUUUCCUAUUAAUCCCCCACCCCCUUACUGGGAGUCAAACUCAGGACCUUGUGUUUGCCAGGCAGGCGCAGCACCACUGAGCUAGAUCCCCGCCCCUGUUUCCUAUUAUCUAUCUUUUGUUUUCUCUUUAUUUAUACUCAGAUCCAUUUUCUCACUCUGCUUUUGUUAGAAGUAACAAAUGAAAUGUUGCUUGCUAGCCCUGGCUUUGCAGCAUACCUUACUGCCAACAAAUGCAAACAACCAGAAAAAAUGCAUAGGUUAGAAACAAUUGUCUUUGGGCUAAUCUGAGGCAUGCUUUGUGAAUUUGAUAAUUUUUUUUCUGUAUUCACAAUUAUGUCUAAUUUGGUGAUAAAUCUGAUCCGUGCUUGCAGAACACCUGCCAAAGUCCCCAUGUCCUCAUGCUGCAAGGCACCUGGCAUUCUGGGAGCUGAGCUAUAAAUCAGGAGAACGUGAAUGCAACAGGACCUGGCGAUUGGAUGGGAGUCUGGGUGGAGAGAACAACACGCUAUUAUGAGAGCGGCAGAAAGUGCUCUAGUAAGAACUGUGUUUCCUGUUCGAUGCCGUGUCUAUCCACAGACUUACUGCAUCCACCUGGGGGUGAGGAGGAAAAGCUGUGCGCAUGUGUGAAAUGAGAGGCACUGGUGGAGGAAAGCAACGAACGUGCAUUACAAUACAAAUCGCAGGCUAAAUGAUCCUCCCACCCACUUUUUUUUUUUUUUUGCUUCUUGACAUUUUAAAUACCAGUAGGCUAUAAAAAUAUACGACUUUUCCCCCAUCAACUUUACCACCUUCAAAGAUAAGGCAGGCAAAUGUAAAAUAGAAAUGAAAAAUAUAAAUUUAAUGACUCUUCUUUACAUGGCCAUCUCAAAAUUAGAGUCAUGAAGAGGCAAAGUCAGCCCCUUCUAAUUGUAG